AAUAGAUACCCCGGGUAGUCCAUGCCGUAAACGUUGGGCACUAGGUGUGGGGCUCAUUCCACGAGUUCCGUGCCGCAGCAAACGCAUUAAGUGCCCCGCCUGGGGAGUACGGCCGCAAGGCUAAAACUCAAAGGAAUUGACGGGGGCCCGCACAAGCGGCGGAGCAUGCGGAUUAAUUCGAUGCAACGCGAAGAACCUUACCAAGGCUUGACAUGCACGAGAAGCCACCAGAGAUGGUGGUCUCUUUGGACACUCGUGCACAGGUGGUGCAUGGUUGUCGUCAGCUCGUGUCGUGAGAUGUUGGGUUAAGUCCCGCAACGAGCGCAACCCUGUCCCAUGUUGCCAGCGGGUUAUGCCGGGGACUCAUGGGAGACUGCCGGGGUCAACGUCGGAGGAAGGUGGGGAUGACGUCAAAUCAUCAUGCCCCUUAUGUCUUGGGCUUCACGCAUGCUACAAUGGCCGUACAAGGGCUGCGAAUCCGUAAAGGUGAGCGAAUCCCGAAAAAGCCGGUCUCAGUUCGGAUUGGGGU
rnacentral:rRNA from 1 species